rnacentral:rRNA from 1 species
UUCGUGGAGGAUGAAGGUUUUAGGAUUGUAAACUCCUUUUGUGAGAGAAGGAAUAAUGACGGUAUCUCACGAAUAAGCACCGGCUAACUCCGUGCCAGCAGCCGCGGUAAUACGGAGGGUGCAAGCGUUACUCGGAAUCACUGGGCGUAAAGAGUGCGUAGGCGGGGUUGUAAGUCAGGUGUGAAAUCCUAUGGCUUAACCAUAGAACUGCAUUUGAAACUACCAACUCUGAGGUGUGGGAGAGGUAGGUGGAAUUAU